rnacentral:rRNA from 1 species
GCAGAGCUAAGACCUCGUACCUUUUGCAUCAUGAAUUAGCCAGUACAAGCAGGCAAGGGGCACCGAAGCCUGUCACCCCGAAACUGAGUGAGCUACUCCAGGACAGCCUAUUGUAGGGCACACCCGUCUCUGUGGCAAAAGAGUGGGAAGAUCCUUGAGUAGAAGUGACAAACUUACCGAACCCAGUAAUAGCUGGUUGUCUGAGAAAUGGAUAUGAGUUCAGCCGCACUACUUCUUUUAAAGAAGAGCGAGUUAUUCGAAGGGGGUACAGCCCCUUUGAAACAGGAAACAACCUUAUAAGGAGGAUAAAGAUUAUGAUAUUUAAGGGACAGUGACUGAGUGGGCCUAAAAGCAGCCACCUCCGAAGAAAGCGUCAAAGCUCAACCACACUAUUCCAAUAAACCCAGUCCGAAGCCCCACACCUAUAACAGACCUUUCUACUAUAAGUAGAAGUGAACAUGCUAGUAUGAGUAAUAAGAGGCGAGCCUCUCCCAGCACACACAUAAGUCAGCACGGACAACCCACCGAUAAUUAACGGACCCAAGAAGAGAGGGCAAUGACAGACAGCCAGAAAAGUAUUCCCCGUUGACCCCACACUGGUGUGCUUAAGGGAAAGACCAAAUGAAAGAGAAGGAACUCGGCAAAAAAGCCUCGCCUGUUUACCAAAAACAUCGCCUCUUGCUAGAAUAAGAG